rnacentral:rRNA from 1 species
UUAAAAAUUAAAUUUAAAAAUUAGAGUAGUAAUAGUUAUGUUCUAAAAACUUAAAAAAUUUGGCGGUAUUUUAAUCUAAUCAGAGGAAUCUGUUUUAUAAUUGAUAUUCCACAUUAAAUCUUACUUAAUUUUAUUAAUAUGUAUAUCGUCGUCAUAAGAUUAUUUUUAAAAAAUAAAUAAUUUUCUUAAUAAAAAAAUUUUUAAUAUGUCAGAUCAAGGUGCAGUUUAUAAUUAAGAAAAUAAUGGAUUACAAUAAAUUUAUUUAUAUGGAUUUUAUAUUUAAAAAUAUAAAUUAAAGUGGAUUUGAUAGUAAA